UGCCCAGGAACUUCUAUCCCUACCUCCACGUGGCACCGGCCGGGCUUCGAGCAACCUUAAAAUCACUUACCUUGGUGGGAACUUAUCUCAUAGGCUGACAGAGAAGC
rnacentral:ribozyme from 1 species